UGGCUCUGAUGGUCACAAUGAUUCUGCUUGGCAACCACUUUCAAAAGCUGUGGUAUGUUCCAGAUGGUGACCACUUGCCUCAUUUAUCCUCCAUUUGAAGGAAUUUAAUAACUAUUCAUUUGUUUGCAUACCAAGCCGGUACAGACUCUUCUCCUGUGGCACUUAUGUGCUACUGAGCUGUCCCUGGAGGUUCUCAGUGACCUGGCCACAUCCUGCCCUGUCGAGCUUAUGGGCCGCCGGCCGCACCUGACCCACUGAGCCUGGAAGAUGAGGCCUCCUCACCCUGGGCGCCCAGCCACUCUGCUCCAGAAGGCACAGGCCCACCUCUCCUGGAAGAGCCAGCAAUGUGUUGAGGAGUAAGCCAGUUAUCUAGUAAUUCCGGAAAGACUGUCAAGAAUUAUUCUCAAAUUGUCUGGACGAUGCAUAAACACUUCUGCUUGACCUUGUAGCCCUGGCAACUGUAUACCUUUGGCAAAACCAAAACCAACCAUCAGCGAGUGAAACUGCCGGCCCCCAACAGAGUUGGAGAAGUUUGCUCUAUGUGGAAACUGACAUUUAGAAAUACAUCAGAAUGUCUGUUCUUUGAACCAAUAAAGAUUCAUAGUAUAAAACUUAAGGCAUAAAAUGAGAGCAAUUUUCUGAAUUUGUCAAUAGAAAAUAACAGUUAUUUUGUAAGAAACAAAAACGCUACAUUUUCAAAUCUAGCAGUGAUUAACUUUUGUUUCUACUCAUUGGUUGCAUUUUAUUAGUGAAAUGCAACAUAAAUGAAUUUGCAUUUUUUGAGUAAUUACAAUCUACAGGGGGCUACAAAAGUGCACUGGGAAUAAACCACAUCCUUUGUUCUGAAAGACAGGAAAAUGUGAUAAUUGAUUACUGAAAGUGGACAGUAAUUUGAGGGUAUUAAAGCCAGGUCUGCUGCUGGAAGCAGACCUCGCUAGGUUCAAACAUUGGUUCCAAAUUUCACUAGCUAUUCGAUUUUAGGCAAGUGAUUAUAUAAUCUUUUAGUGCCUCUAUUUCCUUUUUGUUAAAAUCUGUACAUUCAUAGAUCCCAAGUGAUAGCAUUAUCAGGAGGGCUAUUAUGAAAGAAUAAAUUCAUCAAGAAAAAAGAAUUCCUUUCAUAUAGUGAACUCUCCAGAAGUAAGUUUUGGCAUAUCCAUAUUCUAAAUUAUGACGACUUAAUUAAAAAUGUUGGCUUGGUUGUAGAUUUGGGCACAUUUAAGUAAACAUGAAUAACAUAUUGUUAAGUGAAAAAAGGCUACGAAACAGUUUUAUACGUGUUUUAUGCAUUUUUUUUGCAAAUUCUUAACAAAUUAUGAUUUUAAAAGAGUUAUAAGACAGUAAAUGUUUCAGCUAUCUCUCCAGUGGGCACAAAAAAUGAAGUCCAAACCUACUGUUGGUGAUGGGGUAGACCAGACACAUUCACAUACCGUCGGCAGAAGAGUAAACCACUGUACCCUUUGGUACUCUUGGCCUAUUAGUACUACUUCUUUAAAUUUACGCUAAGAAAAUAAUCAUUGAUAUGUGAAAAGAUUCAUCGUGCAACAGAAUCUAAACUGCAACGAAAAUAAACAAAUUAUAGCUACAUUCAAUAACAUAGAGAAAUCUGAAAAUCAUAAAAUUUGGUGGGAGAAGCCGUAAUAAAAAUCACCGAAUGAUUUUGGAAAGUUCGAAAGCAGUGAAAAGCA